AGCUCAGCAGGUGUCUACAAGCAACAGGAUUCUCACACACUUCAGCGAUGGACAUCAGAGUGGUCUCUCUAAUCAUCCUCUGCGCCGUCUUCAUCAGCAUCGAUGGACACCCUCCUAAGUGCUGUGUGGCUGUUUCCAAGCGCAUCCCACGCCACGUGCUCAAGGACAUGCUGAGGUACGAGGUGCAGCGCAGCUCAGGACUCUGUGACAUCGACGCCAUCAUAAUAUACACACGGAGGAUAAAACGAGUCUGCGCCCAUCCAAGGAUUAAGAAACAUCUGGAUCUACUGAUGAAAAAGGAACGGCAUCUCGCCAUGAAGAUCGCAGCACCAUGAGCCCUGAGCUUAAGGACUGGACACCUGGGGAUGACUUUGCUGUUCCAUGUGUCUGAGUUUGGGCAUUCUGCUUCUUAUUGCACCAUAAGGAAAUACAAAUAAUCAAAUAAUGUACUACAGAGGAAAUGCUUUGAGUGCGGCAGCUGGAAAUUGACCCCUGUGUUUCAAAUAAGCCUUUCUUGCUUACUGUGUUUACAGUGUUUCAAAUAAGCCUUUCUUGCUUACCGGUGUUUAGGUGACUGAAUAAAGGUGACUAUCCUGACA
rnacentral:lncRNA from 1 species